AUUGAACGCUGGCGGCAGGCCUAACACAUGCAAGUCGAACGAGUGGCGGACGGGUGAGUAAUGUCUGGGAAACUGCCUGAUGGAGGGGGAUCACUACUGGAAACGGUAGCUAAUACCGCAUACCAUCAGAUGUGCCCAGAGGGGAUUAGCUAGUUGGUGGGGUAACGGCUCACCAAGGCGACGAUCCCUAGCUGGGCUGAGAGGAUGACCGGCCAAAUGGGAAAUGAGAAACGGUCCAGCCCCCUACGGGGGGCAGCAGAGGGGAAUAUUGGAAAAUGGGGGCAAGCUGGAUGCAGACAGGCCGCGUGUAGGAAGAGGGCUUUGGGGUUGAAAAGUACUUUCAGAGGGGAGGCGUUACCAGCAGAAGAAGCACCGGCUACCUCCGUGCCAGCAGCCGCGGAAUAC
rnacentral:rRNA from 1 species